rnacentral:lncRNA from 1 species
CUCGAUCAACUAGGACUACCAUUUCUUUCAGUUCAAGGAUCCCGACAAAUACUUUAAUGUCUUCGUUGAGUCCGUCUUCAAAUCGUCGGCACAUCUUGGCUUCUGUAGGAACAUAUUCCCUGGCAUACUUACUCAAUCGAAGAAACUCUCUUUCAUAUUCUGAGACUGUCAUAUUACCUUGCUUCAGCUCAAGAAACUCUUUACAUUUCUG